CCUACGGGUGGCAGCAGUGGGGGAUAUUGCACAAUGGGGGAAACCCUGAUGCAGCGACGCCGCGUGGGUGAAGAAGUAUUUCGGUAUGUAAAGCCCUAUCAGCAGGGAAGAAAGAAGACGGUACCUGACUAAGAAGCCCCGGCUAACUACGUGCCAGCAGCCGCGGUAAUACGUAGGGGGCGAGCGUUAUCCGGAUUCGCUGGGUGUAAAGGGAGCGUAGACGGCCGUGCAAGCCAGGAGUGAAAGCCCGGGGCCCAACCCCGGGACUGCUGUUGGAACUGUGCGGCUGGAGUGCGGGAGGGGCAGGCGGAAUUCCUGGUGUAGCGGUGAAAUGCGUAGAUAUCAGGAGGAACACCGGCGGCGAAGGCGGCCGGCUGGACCGCGACUGACGUUGAGGCUCGAAAGCGUGGGGAGCGAACAGGAUUAGAUACCCCAGUAGUC
rnacentral:rRNA from 1 species